rnacentral:misc_RNA from 1 species
GUUCAUAAUUUGCCUAAGUUCUUAAGAAGACCAAAAUCCUUCAUGAGUGAAAUAUGUGUGCAUGAAUCUUUGCAGACAUUUUUAUGGAGAUAAUAUUCCUUUUCCUUGAAUUUUAUUUAUGUAUGGUAACUGGUUAGUGUAUUUAUCUUCAAUAGUCUCAGUAUUUGUAAUUCAUCUUACAUGAUUUGUCUAAUAUAGUAUAAAGGAAUUUACUAGAACAUUGAUUUUGAACCCGUAUUGCUCCUUUAAUUAUUUGAAGGUAACUAAGAAGGAAAGGGGAG